GGAGUUAGCCGGUGCUUCUUCUGCGAGUAACGUCACAGAUGUAAGGUAUUAACUUACACCCUUUCCUCCUCGCUGAAAGUGCUUUACAACCCGAAGGCCUUCUUCACACACGCGGCAUGGCUGCAUCAGGGUUUCCCCCAUUGUGCAAUAUUCCCCACUGCUGCCUCCCGUAGGAGUCUGGGCCGUGUCUCAGUCCCAGUGUGGCUGAUCAUCCUCUCAGACCAGCUAGGGAUCGUCGCCUAGGUGAGCCUUUACCUCACCUACUAGCUAAUCCCACCUGGGCUUAUCCAUCAGCGCAAGGCCCGAAGGUCCCCUGCUUUCCCCCGUAGGGCGUAUGCGGUAUUAGCAGUCGUUUCCAACUGUUAUCCCCCACAAAUGGGCAAAUUCCCAGGCAUUACUCACCCGUCCGCCGCUCGUCAUCUUCAAAAGCAAGCUUUUGAAAUGUUACCGCUCGACUUGCAUGUGUUAGGCCUGCCGCCAGCGUUCAAUCUGAACCAUGAUCAAACUCUGA
rnacentral:rRNA from 1 species